rnacentral:rRNA from 1 species
UAACCGGAUUAGAUACCCUGGUAGUCCACGCCGUAAACGAUGGACACUAGUUGUUGGAAUUAUUCAGUGACUAAGCGAAAGUGAUAAGUGUCCCACCUGGGGAGUACGAUCGCAGGAUUGAAACUCAAAGGAAUUGACGGGGGCCCGCACAAGCGGUGGAGCAUGUGGUUUAAUUCGAUGAUACGCGAGGAACCUUACCAGGGCUUAAAUGUAGAGUGCAUGAUCUAGAGAUAGACUUUCUUCGGACUCUCUACAAGGUGCUGCAUGGUUGUCGUCAGCUCGUGCCGUGAGGUGUCAGGUUAAGUCCUAUAACGAGCGCAACCCUUAUCGUUAGUUGCCAUCAAGUAAAGUUGGGGACUCUAGCGAGACUGCCGGUGCAAACCGAGAGGAAGGUGGGGAUGACGUA